CGUGCCUAAUACAUGCAAGUCGAACGGUCUUUCUAUGGAAGCUUGCUUCACUGAGAAGAUAGUGGCGAACGGGUGAGUAACACGUGGGUAACCUGCCCAUAAGAGGGGGAUAACAUCCGGAAACGGGUGCUAAUACCGCAUAGUUUUCUUGAUCGCAUGAUCGGGAAAGGAAAGACGGCCUUUGUGCUGUCGCUUAUGGAUGGACCCGCGGCGUAUUAGUUAGUUGGUGAGGUAACGGCUCACCAAGACGAUGAUACGUAGCCGACCUGAGAGGGUGAUCGGCCACAUUGGGACUGAGACACGGCCCAAACUCCUACGGGAGGCAGCAGUAGGGAAUCUUCCGCAAUGGACGAAAGUCUGACGGAGCAACGCCGCGUGAGUGAAGAAAAGGGUUUUCGGAUCGUAAAACUCUGUUGUCAGAGAAGAACAAGUUGGAGAGUAACUGCUCCAGCCUUGACGGUAUCUGACCAGAAAGCCACGGCUAACUACGUGCCAGCAGCCGC
rnacentral:rRNA from 1 species